UACGUAGGUGGCAAGCGUUGUCCGGAAUUAUUGGGCGUAAAGCGCUCGCAGGCGGUCUUUUAAGUCUGAUGUGAAAUCUCGUGGCUUAACCACGAACGGUCAUUGGAAACUGGAGGACUUGAGUACAGAAGAGGAGAGUGGAAUUCCACGUGUAGCGGUGAAAUGCGCAGAUAUCAGGAGGAACACCGGUGGCGAAGGGCGG
rnacentral:rRNA from 1 species